ACGGGUGAGUAACGCGUGGGAAUCUACCGUGCCCUGCGGAAUAGCUCCGGGAAACUGGAAUUAAUACCGCAUACGCCCUACGGGGGAAAGAUUUAUCGGGGUAUGAUGAGCCCGCGUUGGAUUGGCUAGUUGGUGGGGUAAAGGCCUACCAAGGCGACGAUCCAUAGCUGGUCUGAGAGGAUGAUCAGCCACAUUGGGACUGAGACACGGCCCAAACUCCUACGGGAGGCAGCAGUGGGGAAUAUUGGACAAUGGGCGCAAGCCUGAUCCAGCCAUGCCGCGUGAGUGAUGAAGGCCUUAGGGUUGUAAAGCUCUUUCACCGGAGAAGAUAAUGACGGUAUCCGGAGAAGAAGCCCCGGCUAACUUCGUGCCAGCAGCCGCGGUAAUACGAAGGGGGCUAGCGUUGUUCGGAAUUACUGGGCGUAAAGCGCACGUAGGCGGAUAUUUAAGUCAGGGGUGAAAUCCCAGAGCUCAACUCUGGAACUGCCUUUGAUACUGGGUAUCUUGAGUAUGGAAGAGGUAAGUGGAAUUCCGAGUGUAGAGGUGAAAUUCGUAGA
rnacentral:rRNA from 1 species